UACACACCGCCCGUCACACCAUGGGAGUGGGUUUCACCAGAAGUGGGUAGCCUAACCGCAAGGAGGGCGCUUACCACGGUGAGAUUCAUGACUGGGGUG
rnacentral:rRNA from 1 species